rnacentral:lncRNA from 1 species
AUUCAAAUCCGACUAGGUUUCUGAUUGGUUGGCCUGUUGGAAGGUAGAUCCUCAAGAACCUAUGAGUAAAUUUUACCAGGCAUAAGUGAGGGAUGUUUGAGAUCAUUUUCUAGACUGCAUCUUGAUCCUUACUAAAGAGUCUGGUUAAAGCUGUUAUUAGACGUGCCAUGCUUGUCACUUGUGAGGAAGAAGGAAAUGGGAACAGGAAGGAUGA